AAAAGUAGAAUUCAGCAAUGAGUUUGAUGCAUUUAUCGGAGCAAAACCUUUCUUGGUUUAAUGCUAACUCUGGAUAACACUGCUUAUCGCAUGACCUUGUGUCGGCGAAGUUACAUUCAAGUAUCUGCCUUAUCAACUUUCGAUGGUAGUGUAUUGGACUGCCAUGGUGUUGACGGGUAACGGAGAAUCAGGGUUCGACUCCGGAGAGGGAGCCUUAGAAACGGCUACCAUGUCUAAGGACAGCAGCAGGCGCGCAACUUAUCCACUGUUCAUUGAACGAGAUAGUGACGAGAAAUAACAAGUCCGGUCUCUAUGAGGUAGGACAUUGGAAUGGAUGGAAUCUAAACAGUUUCAUGAGUACCCACGAGAGGGCAAGUCUGGUGCCAGCAGCCGCGGUAAUUCCAGCUCUCGUAAUGUAUAGAAUUAUUGUUGCGGUUAAAAAGUUCGUAGUUGGAUUUUCGACUGUUAAAGGGUUGCCCUUAACGGGAUGUACUUUUGGCAGUGUUUGCAUUGAAUUUGAAAGCGAUUUCAAGUUGAAUGUGGAUUACUUUGAACGGCUUAAGUGCUCAAGGCGAGUCUUCGGACUGAAUACCGGUGCAUGGAAUAAUGGAACAAGGUUUCGGCCGAGUUUUAUUGGUUUUGUCGGCUAAAACAAUGGUUAACAGGAACAGCUGGGGGCACUCGUAUCGCUGCGCGAGAGGUGAAAUUCGUGGACCGCAGCGAGACGCCCUAAAGCGAAGGCAUUUGCCAAGAGUGUUUUCAUUAAUCAAGAACGAAAGUCAGAG
rnacentral:rRNA from 1 species